rnacentral:lncRNA from 1 species
AUUCUAUAAAAUUACGGGAUUUUUACACUCCCCCUCAAGUUGAUCAUAGAUAUUGACCAUAUUCAACUUGUAGAUGAAAUCAUCAAAAUUUUGUUUGUGUAGCCCUUUGGUGAAUAUAUCUGAUGUUUGUUUUUUGGUGGGGAUAUAGGUCAUGCAAAUAGUUCCGUCUUCAACUUUUUCCUUUAUGAAGUGUAUGUCCACCUCUACAUGUUUAGUUCGGUCAUGUUGUACUAGAUUGAGUGAAAUAUUGAUGACUGCUUUGUUAUCGCAAUAGAGCUUAAUUGGGAAUUUCAUUGUAACUUGUAGUUCUUUCAAGAGUUUUUUUAACCACAAUCCUUCACAUAUCCCUUGAGCUACUGCUCUGAACUCUGCUUUAGUACCGCUCCUUGCUACUACAUUCUGUUUCUUACUUCGCCAGGUUGCUAAGUUUCCCCAUAUGAAUGUACAAUAACCAGUAGUAGAUCUCUUGUCUUCUAUUGCUCCAGCCCAAUCAGCAUCAGUGAAUAUUUCUAUGUCCCUUUUUUCUUAUUUCUUGAACCAUAGUCCUUUUCCAGGUGAACCUUUGAGAUACCUCAAAAUUCUGUAUAUUGCUUCUAGAUGAGUCUCCAUUGGAGAAUGCAUAUGUUGACUUAUCACACUUACGGCGAAUGCAAUGUCAGGUCUAGUAUGUGAUAAGUAGAUUAAUUUUCCAACUAGUCGCUGAUAUUUGUCCUUUUCUACUGGUUCAUCCAUGUCAGUUUUCCUACCAGUAUCAAUGGGAUUGUCACUUGGUUUACACCCGAGCAUGCUUGUUUCAAUUAACAGGUCCAAAAUAUAUUUUCGUUGUGAAACACUAAUACCGUUCUUUGAACUGGCUACUUCCAUUCCAAGGAAAUAUCGCAUUUGUCCAAGAUUCUUUACUUCAAAUUCGGUGGCUAGGCCCCUUUUUAGCCUCUCAAUCUCGAUUGUAUUAUCUCCAGUAAGCACUAUGUUAUCAACAUAUACAAUCAAAAUGGUCUUUGUCCCAUCUUCAAAUAUUUUGAAGAACAUAGUGUGAUCUGAUUGCCCCUGUCGAUAUGCCUGCCUUUUUAAUACAUUUGAAAAUUUAUCAAACCACGUUCUUUGUGAUUGUUUGAGUCUGUGCAAAGACUUUUUUAGUUUGCAUACUUUGUUCUCUUCUCCUUUCUUGUCGAAACCAGGCGGUAAUGUCAUGUAGACUUCUUCUUCCAAUUCCCUAUUCUAAAAUGCAUUUUUGAUGUCAAGUUGUUGUAGUGGCCAAUCUAAGUUUGCUGAUAGUGAUAAGAGGACCCG